UACGAAGGGUGCAAGCGUUACUCGGAAUUACUGGGCGUAAAGCGUGCGUAGGUGGUGAGUUAAGUCUGUCGUGAAAGCCCCGGGCUCAACCUGGGAAUGGCGAUGGAUACUGGCUCGCUAGAGUGCGGUAGAGGCGAGUGGAAUUCCUGGUGUAGCGGUGAAAUGCGCAGAUAUCAGGAGGAACACCGAUUGCGAAGGCAGCUCGCUGGAACGUUACUGACGACUGGAGACGCGAAAAGCGUGGGGGAGCAAACAGG
rnacentral:rRNA from 1 species